rnacentral:lncRNA from 1 species
AUGAACUCAUUUAAAAUAACUGCUUCCCUUCAUGCAGACACAGUUUUAGGGAAGAAAACUAUUGAGGGUUGGAGUACAGUAGCUGUCCCGCAGAUCUACUUGAURAUAGAUGAGAUGACUAGACAGACGUCAACAGACAAUUCAUGUUUAUUCUUCUCCGCUUUCCACAGGAAGUGCUACCAACUAGGACAAGAAGACAGUCAUUUUACUGACUCCACGAUGGUAACCGUGUUACCUCUCCAGCUGCUUCCCCAAGAAAGAAGAGAUACARAUGUAAGCCCAAAGAAAUGAAAGAUGAGGCUAAACUGACUUCCAGGUGCCUGGAUGUAGCCUACUGUGGUUCCCCCCGGGCUGUGCACUGAAGUUUCUUUUCUGUGGAGACCAGCGUGGAAGGAUGUGGCAAGGGCAGGAGUGCCUGCUGGCUGCCUGGGUCUCACCAGCACUCCCUCACGGUACAAGCGCCCACUCGGACUCGGCCUCAGGAAGACGAGGAAUCCGAGGUAGCACAAGAUCUGAUGUCCAUGCUGGUGCCAUCCUUUAUCCCUGUUGGUGAAUACUUAUCAAGCUGCACUCUAACAGACCUUCUCAUUCUAGCACCAGUUUCGCUGUUUUGUUUUUAUAUGCUUGUAACUGUUCUGCUGUGGGUCUUCUAUGUCAUGCWGAUGAGUGUUUGCCAUGGGACACCUUGGGACAGCUGUUAAAAAGAGGACCUGCAGUUAAAAUAUAGCAGUGGCUGCGUUCUUUCUCUAUUCCUCCAUGUCCUGCAGAUAUCUUUGCAUAAGCGACAAACUGAUUCACAGGACAUGAACCUGGAAAUACAAAGGCCUGGAUUUUGUCUCUGGAUCUGAACAGCUCUGACAGCCAUCUGCCUUCCACUUUCUCAUCUGAGGCUAGUAAAGUGUUUUACAAACUGGAGGUAAAAAUAGCAAAAGCUGCAAGAGGCAUGAUUAAGCUCCAUUUUCUCUGAGGAAGGAAUAUGCAGAGAGAUUUUUUUCAAGCAUAUGAUGAGAUCCAAGCUAAGCAUAAGGAAUGUGCUUUAGUUUGGAAAAAAACACAUUUUACAUUCCUGCUUUAAUUCUACACACAUCUAUCUUUUUUCACAAAUAUGCAUGUGUAUGUAGGUUUAUAUGAAUAGGUUAGCUGCCAAGACUAGAUAUGUUGAAUGAGUAGAUUUAUAAUCACAUUAAAAACAUAAAAUAACUGAAGAUACUGUUUUCCUGUAUUUUAAUUUUUUGUACUUCAAGGCUGUGAUUCUUUAUUCUUUCCUGCAAUAGCUGAUAGCCCUAAAUUACUCCUAAWCUAACUAGCUAAAUUAGUUACUCCUAAACUAACUAACUAAACUAACUCCUAAGGUAGAACACAAAGUUAGAUUCUUCACCAUAAGUUAGGUGUUUGCUGAUGUCAUUAUUGACAAAGAAAACACAAAACUCUAAUGAAGACUCAUCCUUCCAAAAACCAAAGUCCAUCACCAUCAUGCAGAAUAAAAAYAGUUGAGUCAUGCA